CAGUCGCCACGGGAAAACGUAGGUGGCAAGCGUUGUCCGGAAUUAUUGGGCGUAAAGCGCGCGCAGGCGGAUCAGUUAGUCUGUCUUAAAAGUUCGGGGCUUAACCCCGUGAUGGGAUGGAAACUGCUGAUCUAGAGUAUCGGAGAGGAAAGUGGAAUUCCUAGUGUAGCGGUGAAAUGCGUAGAUAUUAGGAAGAACACCAGUGGCGAAGGCGACUUUCUGGACGAAAACUGACGCUGAGGCGCGAAAGCCAGGGGAGCGAACGGGAUUAGAUACCCGUGUAGUCCCUGUCUCUUAUACA
rnacentral:rRNA from 1 species